CUCGACCUUAAACUUGCUAAUUCAGUCUCCACAUUAUUGAAGCUUCACUGGCCGAAAUUCAUCUCUGAGUAUCUGCACAUGCAAAGAUAUCACCGGGAUUGAGGCAUAACGCAUGUGUAGAGAGAGAGAGAGAGAGAGAGAGAGAGAGAAGGGGGAGGAGAGAUUUU